rnacentral:rRNA from 1 species
UACGAAGGGAGCUAGCGUUGUUCGGAAUCACUGGGCGUAAAGCGCACGUAGGCGGAUUUGUCAGUCAGGGGUGAAAUCCCCAGGCUCAACCUGGGAACUGCGUCUGAUACUGGAUGGCUUGAAUCCGGGAGAGGGAUGCAGAAUUCCAGGUGUAGCGGUAGAAAUGCGUAGAUAUCUGGAGGAAUACCGGUGGCGAAGGCGGCAUCCUGGACCGGCAUUGACGCUGAGGUGCGAAAGCGUGGGGAGCAAACAGGG